rnacentral:lncRNA from 1 species
CUUUUACAAGUGAAAGUGAAAUUCUUUUUGUGAGCACCACAUGGAAAUUCACAGAGAGAAUGGAUGACUAUAUCUCUGGUUUCAGAGGGAGAGAGAAUGGAGGAAAGAGGACGGAGUGGGGGAGAGGAAGAGAGAGACUCUUAAGCAGGCUCCACACCCAGAGCAGAACUGGAUAUAAGAUUCAAUCUCAAAACCCUGAGAUCAUGACCUGCACCAAAACCUAGAGUUGGAGACAACCAAUGAGACAUCCAGGGAGCCUGAAAAUUCUUAAUAUCUCUAAAGGAAGAAGUACAA